rnacentral:rRNA from 1 species
AACGAACGCUGGCGGCAGGCCUAACACAUGCAAGUCGAGCGAGGACUUCGCUCCUAGCGGCGGACGGGUGAGUAACGCGUGGGAACGUGCCUUUUGCUUCGGUAAACCGCUGGGAAAUUGGGAGUAAUACCGGAAGAGCGCUUUGGGGGCAAGAUGUAUCGGCGGAGGAUCGGCCCGGGUUGGAUUAGGUAGUUGGUUGGGUAAUGGCCUACCUCGCCGGCGAUCCAUAGCUGGUUUGAGAGGGGGAUCAGCCACACUGGGACUGGGAGACGGCCCGGACUCCAACGCACGGCAGCAGUGGGGAAGCUUCAACGAUGGGGGGUACCCUAUUCUAGCCAUGCCGCGUUAACGCUGAAGGGCUUAGGAUGGUAAACCGCUUUCAUCGGGGAUGAUUUGGACGUAACCAGAAGAAGAACCCCCGGCAACUCCGUG